rnacentral:rRNA from 1 species
UACAGAGGUCUCAAGCGUUGUUCGGAUUCAUUGGGCGUAAAGGGUGCGUAGGCGGCGCGGUAAGUCGGGUGUGAAAUCUCGGAGCUUAACUCCUAAACUGCAUUCGAUACUGCCGUGCUUGAGGACUGGAGAGGAGACUGGAAUUUAUGGUGUAGCGGUGAAAUGCGUAGAUAUCGUAAGGAAGACCAGUGGCGAAGGCGGGUCUCUGGACAGUUCCUGACGCUGAGGCACGAAGGCCAGGGGAGCAAACGGG